GAAAUGCGAUAAGUAGUGUGAAUUGCAGAAUUCAGUGAAUCAUCGAAUCUUUGAACGCACAUUGCGCCCCUUGGUAUUCCAUGGGGCAUGCCUGUUCGAGCGUCAUUUGUACCCUCAAGCUCUGCUUGGUGUUGGGUGUUUGUCCCCGUCUCCGCGCGUGGACUCGCCCCAAAGUGAUUGGCAGCCGGCGUACUGGUCCCGGAGCGCAGCACAUGUCGCGCAAACGAGUGCCUUGGUACGGCGGCGUCCAUAAGCCCCUCUCUCACGCUCUUGACCUAGGAUCAGGUAGGGAUACCCGCUGAACUUAAGC
rnacentral:misc_RNA from 1 species